UACGUACUGGGCGAACGUUAUUCGGAAUCACUGGGCUUAAAGGGUGCGUAGGCGGCUUUCCAGGUCCGGUGUGAAAUCUUACGGCUCAACCGUAAAAUUGCGCUGGAAACCGGAAGGCUUGAGUGUGCUAGGGGUGUGUGGAACUUCCAGUGGAGCGGUGAAAUGUGUUGAUAUUGGAAGGAACGCCGGUGGCGAAAGCGACACACUGGGGCAUAACUGACGCUGAGGCACGAAAGCUAGGGUAGCGAACGGGAUUACAAACC
rnacentral:rRNA from 1 species